UAUUACCGCGGCUGCUGGGUGAUGGUUUGCAGAAGCGCUUUCUGGAGCCGUUUGUCGAGCGGGUGUUCGGUGAUUAUCCCGAGUUGGAUUACCUUGCCGCCCUGCGCAAGGACAGCCUGCCGGCCAAUAUCCACGUGCAGCAGUUCUUCAUGCAGCCCGGCAGCCUGUUGCACAGCGCCCAGGCCCAGCAGGACUACGUCAGCAGCAACUACAGCCAUGCCGCACGCGAUAUCAACGCCGCCGGCCUGAACCUGGUUGCGCAAUUGGUGGCCAGCAGCCGCGGUAAUA
rnacentral:rRNA from 1 species